AUUGAACGCUGGCGGAAUGCUUUACACAUGCAAGUCGAGCGGCAGCGCGGCCUUCGGGCUGGCGGCGAGCGGCGAACGGGUGAGUAAUGCAUCGGAACAUGCCCAGUCGUGGGGGAUAACACUUCGAAAGAAGUGCUAAUACCGCAUACGUCCUGAGGGGGAAAGCGGGGGAUCGCAAGACCUCGCGCGAUUGGAGUGGCCGAUGUCAGAUUAGCUAGUUGGUGGGGUAAAGGCCUACCAAGGCGACGAUCUGUAGCUGGUCUGAGAGGAUGAUCAGCCACACUGGGACUGAGACACGGCCCAGACGCCUACGGGAGGCAGCAGUGGGGAAUUUUGGACAAUGGGGGCAACCCUGAUCCAGCCAUUCCGCGUGAGUGAAGAAGGCCUUCGGGUUGUAAAGCUCUUUCGGCAGGAACGAAACGGUGGGCUCUAACAUAGUCCGCUAAUGACGGUACCUGAAGAAGAAGCACCGGCUAACUACGUG
rnacentral:rRNA from 1 species